rnacentral:tRNA from 3 species
GCGGGUGUGGUGGAAUCGGUAGACACGCAAGCUUGAGGGGCUUGUCCUACUUAGUGGGGUGGAGGUUCAAAUCCUCUCACCCGCACCA